rnacentral:lncRNA from 1 species
AAGCUGGAGAAAUCUGCCUUUCUAAAUGGUUUUAUAUAUUUUUUAAAAAAGGAGAGAGAGAGAGAGAGAGAAAAUGCCAUCUGGGAAUGCCACGUGUACAGCAGCAGAUCAUCUUACCUGCUGGCGCAUCCCUCCUGGCUGGAGAAAUCCAGUAGAAGAGCCCAAGAGGACACCUGUGGCAGCUACAGAGGCUGGAGUUAUGGGGCAGCUGCUGCUAAGAGCACGGCCUCUGCAGUGGCCCAGCCUUGCAUGGGAAAUACCCUUUGUGCCUUGAAAUGGGGAAGACUAGAAACGUUGUUUGACAGAGAAGCCACAUAACAGAAGUUGUAUGAAGUUUGAAUAUUCGAUAACGAAGUCAGCAUGGAUGCAGUCACUGAGUUCCCAAAGGGGAGGGACAGACCAUCUAUAUAAGGUAAAUCUGUCACUAUCCGAGAUCAGAAGUCACCCUGCGCUACAGAGACUUUCCCAGGCCCAGAAAAGGUGAGUAGAGACCGAUCACUGAUAUUUUAAUCGUUAUUGUGUCCAGUAGUUAAAACGUGCAAGAGGCUGCGUUGGAGAUUGGGAAACAUGUGACUCAUUAUUGGCGCUGAAUCAGAUCCAUCCCUGAUGCGGCCCGGCUGGAGCUCCAUGGGGAUUACACCAGGAAUUCAUCUGAUCUGAUGUAUCCAGCGUGUGGAAAUGGACAAAAGUGCGGGAUUAACAGUUUAGCAUGGCUCCCAUUCCAGUGAAUGCACUUGCUGGGUGUGUACCCGGAGACUCCAUCUGGGGCCCUUGGGAUCCGCAGUGAGCAUUACUACCAGGUUGUCGGGGGCACGUGACUACGCCACACGUCUCCUCUGGGCUGAGGAGCAGGAGCACCAGGGCAGUGGUGAGUGAGCAGCUGGGGGAGCCUCUCCUGGCAGCUGGGCUCCGUGGGCAGAAGCCGGCUCCAGGGGGCAGCGCUGGCUGGUGCCGGGCUCCUUCGGGGGAGAGGCAAGGGCGUGUCACGGUGCAGCUCGGAACUGGGCCACCCGCCCUGCUUGGGGAACGCUCAGCUGUGCAGAGGCAGGCCGGCUUGGGGAGCAGGGCAGGGAGGGCUGCCAGGCAGACAGACAGCACCCCAGCUCCCACAGCAUGGAGAGCC